AUACGGAGGAUGCAAGCGUUAUCCGGAUUCAUUGGGUUUAAAGGGUGCGUAGGCGGUUAUUUAAGUCAGUGGUGAAAUCCUGUCGCUCAACGAUAGAACUGCCAUUGAUACUGAAAAACUUGAGUACAGUUGAGGUAAGCGGAAUGUGUAGUGUAGCGGUGAAAUGCUUAGAUAUUACACAGAACACCGAUUGCGAAGGCAGCUUACUAAACUGCAACUGACGCUGAUGCACGAAAGCGUGGGGAUC
rnacentral:rRNA from 1 species